UAGUGCUAAAGCCACAACAGCACCUCGUUAUCGGGACAAUAGGAUUCUUUACUGCAGAAGCUCUUUGAUGGAAAGCCAGUUUCUUGCUGCCAGAAGAGAGGAGAUGCUUAGAAUAGAGAUUGGAGCCAAUACUCGCUGAUACAUAAUACAGCUUACAGUUGGUCAAGCCCUGAAGUAUAUAGGCUUGGGUUAUUACUCUAAUACUUUGAGAAACUGAAUAUAUGUAGAAUCAUUUGAGCUAAAUUGUUCUGUGUAUCUUGAAUCUUCUCGACUCUCACAUUACUUAGGCACAUGUAUUUUACCUGUACAAUGAAUAGAACCAUUUAAUAUAGAUCUGAUUGGUUUUU